CCCGAGUGCUUGCACUCAAUUGGAAAGAGGAGUGGCGGACGGGUGAGUAACACGUGGGUAACCUACCCAUCAGAGGGGGAUAACACUUGGAAACAGGUGCUAAUACCGCAUAACAGUUUAUGCCGCAUGGCAUAAGAGUGAAAGGCGCUUUCGGGUGUCGCUGAUGGAUGGACCCGCGGUGCAUUAGCUAGUUGGUGAGGUAACGGCUCACCAAGGCCACGAUGCAUAGCCGACCUGAGAGGGUGAUCGGCCACACUGGGACUGAGACACGGCCCAGACUCCUACGGGAGGCAGCAGUAGGGAAUCUUCGGCAAUGGACGAAAGUCUGACCGAGCAACGCCGCGUGAGUGAAGAAGGUUUUCGGAUCGUAAAACUCUGUUGUUAGAGAAGAACAAGGACGUUAGUAACUGAACGUCCCCUGACGGUAUCUAACCAGAAAGCCACGGCUAACUACGUGCCAGCAGCCGCGGUAAUACGUAGGUGGCAAGCGUUGUCCGGAUUUAUUGGGCGUAAAGCGAGCGCAGGCGGUUUCUUAAGUCUGAUGUGAAAGCCCCCGGCUCAACCGGGGAGGGUCAUUGGAAACUGGGAGACUUGAGUGCAGAAGAGGAGAGUGGAAUUCCAUGUGUAGCGGUGAAAUGCGUAGAUAUAUGGAGGAACACCAGUGG
rnacentral:rRNA from 1 species